GUAACAGUACAACAGGAAACAUUUAAGGAUGAAAUUGAAAGCUUGAAUUCAUCGUCACAGAAAAAAGUGCCACUUGUUCGACAACUUAAACUAUAUACAGACAAAAAUGGAUUACUACGUUCUACCGGGAGAAUACAAAACGCACCUGUGAAGGAGAGUACUAAAUAUCCGUUGUUAUUGCCAACACACCACAGUCUUACGUCCUUAAUCGUAAU
rnacentral:lncRNA from 1 species